rnacentral:lncRNA from 1 species
AAAUUUGUGUAGGUUGAGAAAGAGAAAAGGGAAGAAGAGAGGGUUGAGGAGAUUGUUUGUGUUUUGAUUCUUUAGAGAAAAAGUCUCCAUUUAGAGGAUAGAAAGAAAAUGUGGCCGAAAGACAGGGAAUAGAGAAGGAAUGUCCUUUCUAAUGAACCGUGCUUUCAACAAAGUUUCUUCAACUUUCACAACUUAGAGACAAAAAAAAAGGAAGGUUAGUUAAUACUAAUUCUUAGUCUUAUGUUCCA